AACGAACGCUGGCGGCAUGCCUAACACAUGCAAGUCGAACGCGACCUUCCGGUCUAGUGUCGCACGGGUGCGUGUCGCGCGGGAACCUGCCCUUUGAUUCGGAAUACCUCCCCGGGAGACGUUCUCAUAUCGGCAAUUUUCCUCGGACCAAAGAUUUGUCGCCUUUGGAUGGGCCCGCGUUUGAUUUGCUAGUUGGGAUGGUAUAAGCCUACCCAGGCGACGAUCCAUAGCUGUUCUGUGAGGAUGAGCAGCCACACUGGGAAGAAGACACGGCGCAGACUCCUACGGGAGGCAGCAGUGAAGAAUAUGGGACGAUGGACGAAAUCCUGAUCCAGCAAUGCGGGGGGAGUGAUGAAGGCCGGAGGGUUGUAAAGCUCUUUUACCCGGGAAGAUAAUGACAGUACCGGGAGAAUAAGCUCCGGCUAACUCCGUG
rnacentral:rRNA from 1 species